rnacentral:misc_RNA from 1 species
UAUUUGGGUGAUCCAUAGCUGCACUGAGCAGAUACUUCCAAGUUAGUUAAAGGAGUCAGUUUGGUAUAACUUAUAAAGUUACGGUUGGUAAAAAUACUUUCUUAAAUUUAUUAAUCAAUUUUAGCAAUAACAACAUUAGAAUAACAAAAAUUUUUUGAGUUAGAUAUUGAAAAUUAUUUUUAAAUUAAAUUUGACAUAUUAUAAAAUUUCUAAAAUAACUAAACAUUUCAUCUAAAUUGUUUCUCACAUCAAUCCUAAUUUUACAUAUAAUCAAGGAGAAGAUUAAAAUAUUGAGUCAUUAGCAAACUUAAUAAAAUUGCUAAUUUAGA